AGAGAACAUAAGUACAUAACACAAAAGCACCGAGAGAGAGAGAGAGAGAGAUGAAACUGGUGAGUUACAUGUCACAAUGGAGAGGCAUUGCAAAGGAAGCUAUGGACCGAACAGCCAUAGCAGUGAAGUUCCUCUGUUGCCUUCACAUUACGGACACCUACUUCUGUUCCCCAACUCACGUGUAUGGGCCUAGUAUGCUCCCCACACUCAACAUGGUAGGCGACAUCGUUUUGGUUGAACACGUGUCUCAGAGGCUUGGGAAGGUUCGGCAUGGUGACUUGGUUGUGAUUCGGUCACCGUUGGACCCUAAGAGGUGCCUUACCAAAAGGAUUAUGGGAAUGGAAGGGGAUACUGUUACUUACUUUGAUCCUAUGCUUGGUGAUGCUACUCGUGUUGCUGUGGUGCCAAAGGGGCAUGUUUGGAUUCAAGGGGAUAACAUCUUUGCAUCCCAUGAUUCACGGCAUUUCGGCCCUGUUCCUUAUGGCCUUAUACAAGGAAAAGUGUUUUUCAGGGUUUGGCCACUUGAUUGCCUUGGAGUACCGGGUCAAUAAAGAUGUUUUGAAGAAGGUAAACCCAGUGUGCGGCUUUCUGCUACUAGCCUCCAUUUCUCUUCCUUAUCACGGCCUAUAGUACGAGGUUAAUAGAUGAUGCUUUUCAUUUGCUUACCGGGAAGAACUUAUGGUCAUUCAUCCGGUACAAUGCAAUAUACUUGGAUGAAGCCUCAGUGGUUGCCAUGAAGGUGGCAUUUAGCAAGGUAAAGCACCUGAAGGACCAUAGCUCCCUUUUGUAACAGUGAGAUCAUUUACAUUCAGCUUAGGAUUUCUUUUCCAAUACAAUCUCCUUUUCAUACACUGAAAAUACAGGAUCAGAGGUUUAACAGGAUAAUUAAUCUGAUUCAUUUUAUGAGGCUGAAUGCCAUCUUUGUUUCUUAAGGAUUUUGAUUUUUAAUACAAAUGUAAAAUAACCACUCCACCUAUUAGUUUGAAGGAGAUUGACUCUUGUAUACUUAAGACUUUCUA